UACAGAGGUCUCAAGCGUUGUUCGGAUUUAUUGGGCGUAAAGAGCUCGUAGGCGGCUUAGCAAGUCGGGUGUGAAAACUCCAGGCUCAACCUGGAGACGCCACUCGAGACUGCUAUGGCUAGAGUCCGGUAGGGGACCACGGAAUUCCUGGUGUAGCGGUGAAAUGCGCAGAUAUCAGGAGGAACACCGGUGGCGAAGGCGGUGGUCUGGGCCGGCACUGACGCUGAGGAGCGAAAGCGUGGGGAGCAAACAGG
rnacentral:rRNA from 1 species